ACGCAUACGCCUAGGAUCAUGAAACUUCAUGGGUAGAUUGAUCAUGACUCGCAGAUGACCCCUAUCAAUUUUGAGGUCACUAGGUCAAAGGUCAAGGUCACGGUGACCCGAAAUAGUAAAAUGGUUUCCGGAUGAUAACUCAAGAACGCAUACGCCUAGGAUCAUGAAACUUCAUAGGUAGAUUGAUCAUGACUUGCAGAUGACCCCUAUUGUUUUUGAGGUCACUAGGUCAAAGGUCAAGGUCACGGUGAC